rnacentral:tRNA from 1 species
AUUUAAGUAGUUUAAUUAAAAUUUUGAUUUGUGGGAUCAAGGAUAUAGAAUUAAUCUAUCUUAGAUA